rnacentral:rRNA from 1 species
GACGAACGCUGGCGGCGUGCCUAAUACAUGCAAGUAGAACGCUGAAGAGAGGAGCUUGCUCUUCUUGGAUGAGUUGCGAACGGGUGAGUAACGCGUAGGUAACCUGCCUUGUAGCGGGGGAUAACUAUUGGAAACGAUAGCUAAUACCGCAUAACAAUAGGUGACACAUGUCAUUUAUUUGAAAGGGGCAAUUGCUCCACUACAAGAUGGACCUGCGUUGUAUUAGCUAGUAGGUGAGGUAACGGCUCACCUAGGCGACGAUACAUAGCCGACCUGAGAGGGUGAUCGGCCACACUGGGACUGAGACACGGCCCAGACUCCUACGGGAGGCAGCAGUAGGGAAUCUUCGGCAAUGGGGGCAACCCUGACCGAGCAACGCCGCGUGAGUGAAGAAGGUUUUCGGAUCGUAAAGCUCUGUUGUAAGUCAAGAACGAGUGUGAGAGUGGAAAGUUCACACUGUGACGGUAGCUUACCAGAAAGGGACGGCUAACUACGUGCCAGCAGCCGCGGUAAUACGUAGGUCCCGAGCGUUGUCCGGAUUUAUUGGGCGUAAAGCGAGCGCAGGCGGUUUGAUAAGUCUGAAGUUAAAGGCUGUGGCUCAACCAUAGUUCGCUUUGGAAACUGUCAAACUUGAGUGCAGAAGGGGAGAGUGGAAUUCCAUGUGUAGCGGUGAAAUGCGUAGAUAUAUGGAGGAACACCGGUGGCGAAAGCGGCUCUCUGGUCUGUAACUGACGCUGAGGCUCGAAAGCGUGGGGAGCGAACAGGAUUAGAUACCCUGGUAGUCCACGCCGUAAACGAUGAGUGCUAGGUGUUGGAUCCUUUCCGGGAUUCAGUGCCGCAGCUAACGCAUUAAGCACUCCGCCUGGGGAGUACGACCGCAAGGUUGAAACUCAAAGGAAUUGACGGGGGCCCGCACAAGCGGUGGAGCAUGUGGUUUAAUUCGAAGCAACGCGAAGAACCUUACCAGGUCUUGACAUCCCGAUGCUAUUUCUAGAGAUAGAAAGUUACUUCGGUACAUCGGUGACAGGUGGUGCAUGGUUGUCGUCAGCUCGUGUCGUGAGAUGUUGGGUUAAGUCCCGCAACGAGCGCAACCCCUAUUGUUAGUUGCCAUCAUUCAGUUGGGCACUCUAGCGAGACUGCCGGUAAUAAACCGGAGGAAGGUGGGGAUGACGUCAAAUCAUCAUGCCCCUUAUGACCUGGGCUACACACGUGCUACAAUGGUUGGUACAACGAGUUGCGAGUCGGUGACGGCAAGCUAAUCUCUUAAAGCCAAUCUCAGUUCGGAUUGUAGGCUGCAACUCGCCUACAUGAAGUCGGAAUCGCUAGUAAUCGCGGAUCAGCACGCCGCGGUGAAUACGUUCCCGGGCCUUGUACACACCGCCCGUCACACCACGAGAGUUUGUAACACCCGAAGUCGGUGAGGUAACCUUUUGGAGCCAGCCGCCUAAGGUG